GCCAGGUAACUGGUCAGUGAUCAGUCUGGGGACGAGUAAAGUUCAAUCUGGCCAAGACCCAACUACGAAGCCCAAGGCAUGCCCAAGGAACGAGAAAUAUUUAACAAACUUACAAACAAGGCAGAUUUUUUAUUUUUUUUAUUUCACAUGUUGUAAACUAUUGAAACCUCACAGUCUUAAGGUUUUAUUCUAUCAUCUGCCUACUCCAAUAUUCACGAUGGAUAUUUUUAAAUUGUGUUUUGUAUGUAUAUUGGAGUAAGCCAUUUGCAGCAUAAAAGCUAAAGUUGUUUGAUUUAUUCCCUGUCAGGACAAAAAAAGUAGUUUACAAAUUGAGAAAUUUAAAAAUAUUGAUCCUUGUUUUUAAGUCUCCAAUUGUUAUCUAGACCUAAGGUAGUAUAUUGAAUCAGCCUCCAAAUAGAUGUCUAAGCUCCGUUAUUCUAAAGUAGUUUCAACUUGCUGCUGGAUAGAAGCUUGAAAGCUACAGACUGUGGAAUGCUGACCUGUUAUCUGCAGUUAAUAAUCCAUCUGGUGCAGCUUAAAAUUGGUCAAGAUCAUGUAAAUGAAAAAAAGCAAUAUAAAGAACUUUAAAAAAUAAAUAUGCUAGGAACUCUUGAAAAAGUAUUCUUGGUGAAAAAUUGAAAAUUCUCGGAGAUAGCAACACUUAUCUGUGGAUAAAUUAGGCAAUACAGUUAAUGAAAAUUUAUCUAAGAAGAAGCAAUCAAUCAAGGAGGCAAGUAGAAUGAUGCUGGCAUUUCUAUCUAUAACGAUAACUUACUGCCUCGUAUGGAGAUGAGUGGAAAAUAUCUGUUACGAAAAUAACGAACGCGUUACGACCUAAAAUGCUUUUCUUCUUGACAUUUGGUUAACCUGAACGUAAAUUCAAAUUUUGGCAAAAUUAAAGUAAAUGGCCAAUCAUCUUGCUGCUAGAAUCUUCCUAUCUUGUGAGUUUAGACUGGUUAUUAAGGAAGUUGGAUACGAUGCCGUAGCUGACGUCAUGAUAAAGGGAAUAUGUCAAAAAGCAAUUUAGAUACGAUGCCGAAGCAAACGUCAUGACAACAAGGAGGAUUUGAAAAGCAAGUCCGUCAGCUAAAAGAUGGCUUUGAAAUCCUUAGCUUCUGAACAAUUUACACGAUAAAAUUUUUCUUUAUAUUUGUUUACAAGUUUUUAACAUAUUCACACAAGAGCGUGUAGAGCAACUGAAAAUUUUGGUCGCUAUGGGAAAUCAUCCAUUUAAAGCGAUCUUCUUACACGUUGACCAAACUUCCCCGUGGAAAAUUUUGAUCCAAGAACGCUAUUGCCAUUGGUGGCUUGAUCGUUUUCUGUGUGGAGGACUCGGUGGUGACUAUUGUACGAGAUUUUAUAAUCGUAAUGAAUCGGCAGAGGAUAUUGAUGGAGGUCAGGUGUAAACAGUGACUGAAAUUCGUUGGAGAGGGAUUCCGAUUCUUUUGUUUUCUAACGUGUAUGGUAUUUUUACAAAAAAAAAAUUAAGUGCGUAUCUGGGCUCCCUUCUUUUCUGUGGCCCCGUUUC
rnacentral:lncRNA from 1 species